AGUGAACGCUGGCGGUAGGCCUAACACAUGCAAGUCGGACGGCAGCACAGUAAGAGCUUGCUCUUACGGGUGGCGAGUGGCGGACGGGUGAGGAAUACAUCGGAAUCUACUUUUUCGUGGGGGAUAACGUAGGGAAACUUACGCUAAUACCGCAUACGACCUACGGGUAAAAGCAGGGGAUCUUCGGACCUUGCGCGAUUGAAUGAGCCGAUGUCGGAUUAGCUAGUUGGCGGGGUAAAGGCCCACCAAGGCGACGAUCCGUAGCUGGUCUGAGAGGAUGAUCAGCCACACUGGAACUGAGACACGGUCCAGACUCCUACGGGAGGCAGCAGUGGGGAAUAUUGGACAAUGGGCGCAAGCCUGAUCCAGCCAUACCGCGUGGGUGAAGAAGGCCUUCGGGUUGUAGCCCUUUUGUUGGGAAAGAAAAGCAGCAGGUUAAUACCCCGCUGUUCUGACGGUACCCAAAGAAUAAGCACCGGCUAACUUCGG
rnacentral:rRNA from 1 species